GAUGAACGCUGGCGGCGUGCCUAAUACAUGCAAGUCGAGCGAACAGACGAGGAGCUUGCUCCUCUGACGUUAGCGGCGGACGGGUGAGUAACACGUGGAUAACCUACCUAUAAGACUGGGAUAACUUCGGGAAACCGGAGCUAAUACCGGAUAAUAUAUUGAACCGCAUGGUUCAAUAGUGAAAGACGGUUUUACUGUCACUUAUAGAUGGAUCCGCGCCGCAUUAGCUAGUUGGUAAGGUAACGGCUUACCAAGGCAACGAUGCGUAGCCGACCUGAGAGGGUGAUCAGCCACACUGGAACUGAGACACGUUCCAGACUCCUACGGGAGGCAGCAGUAGGGGAUCUUCCGCAAUGGGCGAAAGCCUGACGGAGCAACGCCGCGUGAGUGAUGAAGGUCUUCGGAUCGUAAAACUCUGUUAUUAGAGAAGAACAAAUGUGUAAGUAACUAUGCACGUCUUGACGGUACCUAAUCAGAAAGCCACGGCUAACUACGUG
rnacentral:rRNA from 1 species